AUGAACGCUAGCUACAGGCUUAACACAUGCAAGUCGAGGGGCAGCAUGGUCUUAGCUUGCUAAGGCCGAUGGCGACCGGCGCACGGGUGAGUAACACGUAUCCAACCUGCCGUCUACUCUUGGACAGCCUUCUGAAAGGAAGAUUAAUACAAGAUGGCAUCAUGAGUCCGCAUGUUCACAUGAUUAAAGGUAUUCCGGUAGACGAUGGGGAUGCGUUCCAUUAGAUAGUAGGCGGGGUAACGGCCCACCUAGUCUUCGAUGGAUAGGGGUUCUGAGAGGAAGGUCCCCCACAUUGGAACUGAGACACGGUCCAAACUCCUACGGGAGGCAGCAGUGAGGAAUAUUGGUCAAUGGGCGAGAGCCUGAACCAGCCAAGUAGCGUGAAGGAUGACUGCCCUAUGGGUUGUAAACUUCUUUUAUAAAGGAAUAAAGUCGGGUAUGGAUACCCGUUUGCAUGUACUUUAUGAAUAAGGAUCGGCUAACUCCGUGCCAGCAGCCGCGGUAAUACGGAGGAUCCGAGCGUUAUCCGGAUUUAUUGGGUUUAAAGGGAGCGUAGAUGGAUGUUUAAGUCAGUUGUGAAAGUUUGCGGCUCAACCGUAAAAUUGCAGUUGAUACUGGAUAUCUUGAGUGCAGUUGAGGCAGGCGGAAUUCGUGGUGUAGCGGUGAAAUGCUUAGAUAUCACGAAGAACUCCGAUUGCGAAGGCAGCCUGCUAAGCUGCAACUGACAUUGAGGCUCGAAAGUGUGGGUAUCAAACAGGAUUAGAUACCCUGGUAGUCCACACGGUAAACGAUGAAUACUCGCUGUUUGCGAUAUACUGCAAGCGGCCAAGCGAAAGCGUUAAGUAUUCCACCUGGGGAGUACGCCGGCAACGGUGAAACUCAAAGGAAUUGACGGGGGCCCGCACAAGCGGAGGAACAUGUGGUUUAAUUCGAUGAUACGCGAGGAACCUUACCCGGGCUUAAAUUGCAGAUGAAUUACGGUGAAAGCCGUAAGCCGCAAGGCAUCUGUGAAGGUGCUGCAUGGUUGUCGUCAGCUCGUGCCGUGAGGUGUCGGCUUAAGUGCCAUAACGAGCGCAACCCUUGUUGUCAGUUACUAACAGGUUCCGCUGAGGACUCUGACAAGACUGCCAUCGUAAGAUGUGAGGAAGGUGGGGAGGACGUCAAAUCAGCACGGCCCUUACGUCCGGGGCUACACACGUGUUACAAUGGGGGGUACAGAGGGCCGCUACCACGCGAGUGGAUGCCAAUCCCCAAAACCUCUCUCAGUUCGGACUGGAGUCUGCAACCCGACUCCACGAAGCUGGAUUCGCUAGUAAUCGCGCAUCAGCCACGGCGCGGUGAAUACGUUCCCGGGCCUUGUACACACCGCCCGUCAAGCCAUGGGAGCCGGGGGUACCUGAAGUGCGUAACCGCGAGGAGCGCCCUAGGGUAAAACUGGUGACUGGGGCU
rnacentral:rRNA from 1 species